UGCCAGCCGCCGCGGUAAUACGGAGGGUGCAAGCGUUGUUCGGAAUUAUUGGGCGUAAAGAGCAUGUAGGCGGACUGUUAAGUCUGGCGUGAAAGCCCGGGGCUCAACCUUGGAAUUGCUUUCAAAACUGCUAGACUAGAGUACUGGAGAGGAUAGCGGAAUUCCUAAUGUAGAGGUGAAAUUCGUAGAUAUUAGGAGGAACACCGGUGGCGAAGGCGGCUAUCUGGUCAGAUACUGACGCUGUUGCACGAAAGCGUGGGGAGCAAACAGGAUUAGAUA
rnacentral:rRNA from 1 species